GUACACUCCUGCGGGAGGCAGCAGUGGGGAAUUUUGGACAAUGGGCGAAAGCCUGAUCCAGCAAUGCCGCGUGCAGGAUGAAGGCCUUCGGGUUGUAAACUGCUUUUGUACGGAACGAAAAAGCUCCUUCUAAUACAGGGGGCCCAUGACGGUACCGUAAGAAUAAGCACCGGCUAACUACGUGCCAGCAGCCGCGGUAAUACGUAGGGUGCGAGCGUUAAUCGGAAUUACUGGGCGUAAAGCGUGCGCAGGCGGUUAUGUAAGACAGAUGUGAAAUCCCCGGGCUCAACCUGGGAACUGCAUUUGUGACUGCAUGGCUAGAGUACGGUAGAGGGGGAUGGAAUUCCGCGUGUAGCAGUGAAAUGCGUAGAUAUGCGGAGGAACACCGAUGGCGAAGGCAAUCCCCUGGACCUGUACUGACGCUCAUGCACGAAAGCGUGGGGAGCAAACAGGAUUAGAUACCCUAGUAGUCCCAUGA
rnacentral:rRNA from 1 species